UUUUUUUUUGUUUUUUAUUUUUAUGUGUUUUUUUCAGUAAUGGAUAGUUUUAAUUGUUAAGAGCCCUUUGUGACAGAGGCUAGCACUAAAGAAAAUUGCCAGGCUGAAGAGUGUGAAUUGAUCACGUUGUUGGGGGAGGGGCCCCAGGAGGCAGAACUGGAGGAGGAAGACUCUGGCUGGGAGAACAGUGAGGGUCUUUUGGUCUUGAGAAGCUGAAGAAAGAAGGCGGGGGAAAAAACACUUUCUCCUGAUGGUUACUCAACUUUUCCUGCUGAGCCAUAAAUACAGAGACCUCAGAGACCAUCUAGUACAAUUGCUUAUUUGAUGUAUGAGAAAACUGAGCUCCAUAAAGGUUAAGUCACUUGAACAAGGUCACACAGAGAUCAGAGCUCUUGGUGUGGAAUUUCCUGCCUCAGAAGAUGGCAGUAGCAAGCACAUUAUAUGAAGAAUUCCUAAAGUGGCAUGAAAGAAGAAGACACCCAUGUUCCCAGAGAGAGGAGGUUCCAUGACUUCCUAAUUAGAGGAAAUAUGUGGGGUGGUGGGAUAGUGGAGAGAGGCUCCUGCACAGCAUAAUACCAGAAUCCUAUCUUUAAGCCAGAGAAGAAGAAAUCUCCACACAGUACCAGCCUAGAAGUUUAGCUUACAAGUAUGAGUUCAAGAAUUUAGAGUUCUAGACAGAUAAAGGAUAUUCCUUAGAAAUCACUAGCCUUGGCAGUGUUUGAGGAAUCUUCCACUCUAUCAUGAGAUGAAGAAUUUCUGGAGCAACAUGACUCCUAGGGAGAGAAGAGGAUAAUGAAACAUAACCUCCCAGGGCUGAAAGAAGGAACAGCAAGGAACUAUGGUCACAGAUGGAAUGUAGACUUUGUACUUCCCCAUUAUAUGGAGUUAUUUACAUGGCGUGAAUCUGAAAGGCAGGGAGGUUUCUGUCUAGUACCCCUGAAUUUGUUGCUGUUCUGUAGAGCAUAAGCCUAGGAAUUGUGCUGAAUCUGGAGCACUUUAGUUUUCAUAAGAAGUGGGAAUCUUUGGGGGUUUCUCAUGGGUUACUCUGAGUCUUUUAUAUUCUUUUCAAAUUUGUUUUAGGGUCCCUGUAAUUCCUUUGUAUUUUAUAUUCUCUCUUUGGGGUAAAAUAAAGGCUGUCUUAUACUUGAUACUUGAAGUGUUUCCUUAAAUGCUUGUACAGGAU